rnacentral:rRNA from 1 species
UACGUAGGGGGCAAGCGUUAUCCGGAUUUACUGGGUGUAAAGGGAGCGUAGACGGCAUGGCAAGUCAGAUGUGAAAUCCCGGGGCUCAACUCAGGAGUUGCAUCUGAAACUGUUUUUCUUGAGUGCUGGAGAGGAAAGCGGAAUUCCUAGUGUAGCGGUGAAAUGCGUAGAUAUUAGGAGGAACACCAGUGGCGAAGGCGGCUAUCUGGACAGUAACUGACGCUGAGGCACGAAAGCGUGGGGAGCAAACAGGAUUAGAUA